GCGGGCGUGGUGGAAUUGGUAGACACGCAGGAUUUAGGUUCCUGUGCUCCCGAGCGUGGGGGUUCGAGUCCCCCCGCCCGCAC
rnacentral:tRNA from 1 species